CACUGGAUAUCCAGAGGUACAGAACAGCACAUAUACAGAUAUCUGUAUAUGUGCUGUUCUGUACCUCUGGAUAUCCAGUG